rnacentral:rRNA from 1 species
UACGUAGGGGGCAAGCGUUGUCCGGAAUCAUUGGGCGUAAAGAGCGUGUAGGCGGCCAGAUAAGUCCGCUGUGAAAACUCGAGGCUCAACUUCGAGCUGUCGGCGGAAACUAUCUGGCUAGAGUCCGGAAGAGGAGAGUGGAAUUCCUGGUGUAGCGGUGAAAUGCGCAGAUAUCAGGAAGAACACCAAUGGCGAAAGCAGCUCUCUGGGACGGUACUGACGCUGAGACGCGAAAGCGUGGGGAGCGAACAGG